rnacentral:rRNA from 1 species
GAUGAACGCUGGCGGCGUGCCUAAUACAUGCAAGUCGAGCGAACAGACGAGGAGCUUGCUCCUCUGACGUUAGCGGCGGACGGGUGAGUAACACGUGGAUAACCUACCUAUAAGACUGGGAUAACUUCGGGAAACCGGAGCUAAUACCGGAUAAUAUAUUGAACCGCAUGGUUCAAUAGUGAAAGACGGUUUUGCUGUCACUUAUAGAUGGAUCCGCGCCGCAUUAGCUAGUUGGUAAGGUAACGGCUUACCAAGGCAACGAUGCGUAGCCGACCUGAGAGGGUGAUCGGCCACACUGGAACUGAGACACGGUCCAGACUCCUACGGGAGGCAGCAGUAGGGAAUCUUCCGCAAUGGGCGAAAGCCUGACGGAGCAACGCCGCGUGAGUGAUGAAGGUCUUCGGAUCGUAAAACUCUGUUAUUAGGGAAGAACAAAUGUGUAAGUAACGAUGCACGUCUUGACGGUACCUAAUCAGAAAGCCACGGCUAUCUACGU